rnacentral:rRNA from 1 species
GUGAGGAAUUUUCCGCAAUGGGCGAAAGCCUGACGGAGCAAUGCCGCGUGAAGGAUGAAGGCCUAUGGGUUGUAAACUUCUUUUCUCAGAAAAGAAUUAUGACGGUAUCUGAGGAAUAAGCAUCGGCUAACUCUGUGCCAGCAGCCGCGGUAAGACAGAGGAUGCAAUCGUUAUCCGGAAUGAUUGGGCGUAAAGCGUCUGUAGGUUGUUUAAAAAGUAUUCUGUCAAAGAUUAGGGCUUAACCCUAGAUAGGCAGAAUAAACUUUUAAGCUAGAGUUUGGUAGAGGCAGAGGGACUUCCCGGUGGAGAGGUGAAAUGCGUAGAUAUCGGGAGGAACACCAAAGGCGAAGGCACUCUGCUGGGCCAAUACUAACACUGAGAGACGAAAGCGAGGGGAGCAAAUGGGAUUAGAAACCCCAGUAGUCC